AUUGAACGCUGGCGGCAGGCCUAACACAUGCAAGUCGAGCGAGCGGCGGACGGGUGAGUAAUGUCUGGGAAACUGUCUGAUGGAGGGGGAUAACUACUGGAAACGGUAGCUAAUACCGCAUACCAUCAGAUGUGCCCAGUUGGGGUUAGAUAGUAGGUGGGGGAACGGCUCACCUAGGCGACGAUCCCUAGCGGGGCUGCGAGGGUGACCAGGCACACUGGAACUGAGACACGGUCCAGACUCCUACGGGAGGCAGCAGUGGGGAAUAUUGCACAAUGGGCGCAAGCCUGAUGCAGCCAUGCCGCGUGUGUGAAGAAGGUGUUCGGGUUGUAAAGCACUUUCAGCGGGGAGGCGUUACCCGCAGAAGAAGCACCGGCUAACUCCGUGCCAGCAGCCGCGGUAAUUC
rnacentral:rRNA from 1 species